ACGGGAGGCGCAGUGAGGAAUAUUGGACAAUGGCCGGAAGGCUGAUCCAGCCAUGCCGCGUGAAGGCAGACGGUCCUAUGGAUUGUAAACUUCUUUUGUACGGGAGCAAUAAGGUCUACGGGUAGGCCGAUGAGAGUACCGUACGAAUAAGCAUCGGCUAACUCCGUGCCAGCAGCCGCGGUAAUACGGAGGAUGCGAGCGUUAUCCGGAUUUAUUGGGUUUAAGGGUGCGUAGGCGGACUGGUAAGUCAGCGGUGAAACGCAGGUGCUCAACACCUGACCUGCCGUUGAUACUGCCGGUCUGGAAUGCGGAUGCUGUGGGAGGAAUGUGUGGUGUAGCGGUGAAAUGCAUAGAUAUCACACAGAACACCGAUUGCGAAGGCAUCUCACAAAUCCGCUAUUGACGCUGAGGCACGAAAGUGCGGGGAUCGAACAGGAUUAGAUACCCUGGUA
rnacentral:rRNA from 1 species